AGAAAAGCUAUGACAUGGAAGAGUAGUUGAGAGAUUCUUUUUAGAGAGGUAUCGGAAGGUGAAAGAUACUAAGAUAUUUUAACGAAAAUCACCAUCAAGCUGCCCACCGAAAUGUAGGUGUUGUCGGGAGCUCCCGUUACAGAGCUAUUCAUUAAAUGAAUUAAGUGCAUCAUUAGAUGAAGAAGAGUGGUACCGCGGAUGGUAAAAUUAUGUAUAUUACCCUUCGUCUCUUUA
rnacentral:ncRNA from 1 species